rnacentral:tRNA from 1 species
GCUAUAGUAGCUUAAACCAAAGCGUUGGUCUUGUAAACCAAAGAAUGAAGUAUAAACCCCUCCUAAAGCU